AAUGCAUCUGACAGACUGCCAGUGUCUGUACUGAUGUUAAGGCAGGGACAGACCAGAACAAUCUUUAUGACUGAUUAUGGUCACCUUUUGUUUUAGGAUAAGUUUUAAUGUCUAAAUGUUUAAUAUUAGGGUUUCCUAUAUGUAUGACAAAUUAGGCACUCUAGUUAAAUAUACGUUUCUUUGUUUUAAGGUUUAGUAAGUAAAAGACAGGAUCUUGUAUUGUGUCUAUAUUUAAAAAUACAAUAUAUUUAUUU